rnacentral:rRNA from 1 species
AGAUUGAACGCUGGGCGGCAGGCCUAACACAUGCAAGUCGAGCGGCAGCACGGGUACUUGUACCUGGUGGCGAGCGGGCGGACGGGUGAGUAAUGCCUAGGAAUCUGCCUGGUAGUGGGGGAUAACGCUCGGAAACGGACGCUAAUACUGCA